rnacentral:rRNA from 1 species
GGACUACCAGGGUAUCUAAUCCCGUUCGCUACCCACGCUUUCGUGUCUCAGCGUCAGGAGCGCGCCAGUAGAGUGCCUUCGCAUUUGGUGUUCCCCAUGAUAUCAACGGAUUUCACCCCUACACCAUGAGUUCCCUCUACCUCUCGCGUCCUCAAGCACUACCGUUUCUCUCGCAUUACCCGGGUUAAGCCCGAGUGCUUUUACGAAAGACUAAUAGCGCCGCCUACACACCCUUUACGCCCAGUGAUUCCGGAUAAUGCUUGGGGCCUCUGUAUUACCGCGGCUGCUGGCAC